CGCGUAUGCAACUUGCCUAUCAGAGGAGAAUAGCUCAUCGAAAGAUGAAUUAAUGCUCCAUGAAACAGGGGUCCCGCAUGGGAAUAUUUGUUAAAGAUUCAUCGCUGAUAGAUAGGCAUGCGUUCCAUUAGGCAGUUGGCGGGGUAACGGCCCACCAAACCGACGAUGGAUAGGGGUUCUGAGAGGAAGGUCCCCCACAUUGGUACUGAGACACGGACCAAACUCCUACGGGAGGCAGCAGUGAGGAAUAUUGGUCAAUGGCCGAGAGGCUGAACCAGCCAAGUCGCGUGAAGGAUGAAGGAUCUAUGGUUUGUAAACUUCUUUUAUACGGGAAUAAAGUGAGCCACGCGUGGCUUUUUGUAUGUACCGUAUGAAUAAGCAUCGGCUAACUCCGUGCCAGCAGCCGCGGUAAUACGGAGGAUGCGAGCGUUAUCCGGAUUUAUUGGGUUUAAAGGGUGCGUAGGUGGUCUUUUAAGUCAGCGGUGAAAGUUUGUGGCUCAACCAUAAAAUUGCCAUUGAAACUGGGGGACUUGAGUAUGUUUGAGGUAGGCGGAAUGCGUGGUGUAGCGGUGAAAUGCAUAGAUAUCACGCAGAACUCCGAUUGCGAAGGCAGCUUGCCAAGCCAUAACUGACACUGAAGCACGAAAGCGUGGGUAUCAAACAGGAUUAGAUACCCUGGUAGUCCACGCAGUAAACGAUGAUUACUAGGAGUUUGCGAUAAAA
rnacentral:rRNA from 1 species